UUGAUCCUGGCUCAGAAUCAACGCUGGCGGCGUGCCUAACACAUGCAAGUCGAACGAGAAAGUGGAGCAAUCCAUGAGUAAAGUGGCGACCGGGUGAGUUACACGUGACUAACCUACCUUCGAGUGGGGGAUAACCUCGGGAAACCGGGUCUAAUACCGCAUAAUGCCUUCGGGUUAAAGGAGCAAUUCGCUUGAAGAGUGGGUCGCGGCUGAUUAGCUAGUUGGCGGGGUAACGGCCCACCAAGGCGAUGAUCGGUAGCCGGCCUGAGAGGGCGCACGGCCACACUGGAACUGAAACAUGGUCCAGACUCCUACGGGAGGCAGCAGUGGGGAAUUUUGCGCAAUGGGGUAACCCUGACGCAGCAACGCCGCGUGGAGGAUGAAGUCCCUUGGGACGUAUACUCCUUUCGACCGGGACGAUGAUGACGGUACCGGUGGAAGAAGCCCCGUCUAACUUCGUGCCAGCAGCCGCGGUAAUU
rnacentral:rRNA from 1 species